rnacentral:rRNA from 1 species
GAUGAACGCUAGCUACAGGCUUAACACAUGCAAGUCGAGGGGCAGCACUAGGUAGCAAUACUGAGGUGGCGACCGGCGCACGGGUGCGUAACGCGUAUCCAACCUUCCCGAUACUCUUGGAUAGCCUUCCGAAAGGGAGAUUAAUACAAGAUGGUGUUUCAAUUCCGCAUGUUAUUGAAACUAAAGAUUUAUCGGUAUCGGAUGGGGAUGCGUGACAUUAGAUAGUAGGCGGGGUAACGGCCCACCUAGUCUACGAUGUCUAGGGGUUCUGAGAGGAAGGUCCCCCACACUGGAACUGAGACACGGUCCAGACUCCUACGGGAGGCAGCAGUGAGGAAUAUUGGUCAAUGGUCGGAAGACUGAACCAGCCAAGUAGCGUGAAGGAUGAAGGUUCUAUGGAUUGUAAACUUCUUUUAUACGGGAAUAAAACCACCUACGUGUAGGUGCUUGUAUGUACCGUAUGAAUAAGCAUCGGCUAACUCCGUG